UUCAACUCUAGCAUUUGGAGACACUUCACCUCUAGAGCGAGAUUGUCUCCAUCCACCCAGUUUAUGGCUUGUCUCCUUCGGCUUCAGUCUGCUUCGAGGAACAAGAAUAUUUGCCUCAUUGUGAAUCUCAUACACCAAGCCUCUGUGUACCUCAUUUGGCGUGAACGAAACAUUCGUCUUCAUUCCGCCAAUUAUAGGUGUGCUUCCUCCAUUAUUAAGGAAAUAAAACUCACCAUCAAGGCAAAACUAGAUCCUUUAUCUAGGGAACAACGAUGUGUACCUCCUGCUUUAUCACUUCUUGCUACACAGUUCUCCCUCUUUAGUAAACCCACCUUUGUGGCUCGGUUCCAUUUUUCUUCUCCCUCUUUUGCAGGUGGCUUGGUUUCUGGAGAAGUUUUGUUUCCUCCAGUUGGGCAUGUGGCCAUUUUAAGUGUUUCUACCAUGUAUGUUUGGGCAUGAGGCCUCUUUAAGCGUUUCUACCAUAUAUGUUUUAUGUUUUAAUGAAAACUUAAAA
rnacentral:sRNA from 1 species